UACGUAGGGGGCAAGCGUUGUCCGGAUUUAUUGGGCGUAAAGAGCGUGUAGGCGGCUUGGUAGGUCUUGCGUCAAAACCUGAGGCUCAACCUCAGUUCGCGUGGGAAACCACCUAGCUAGGGUCCGGAAGAGGAGAACGGAAUUCCCAGUGUAGCGGUGAAAUGCGCAGAUAUUGGGAAGAACACCAGUGGCGAAGGCGGUUCUCUGGGACGGUACUGACGCUGAGACGCGAAAGCGUGGGGAGCGAACAGG
rnacentral:rRNA from 1 species